rnacentral:miRNA from 1 species
GCAGACACAUUCCAGACAAUCAGCAGCAGACCCUCCCUCCCAGACCCUGCCACCUCCUGGACAGCUCACUAAGAAUGCAGCUUCACAAUGGAUGCUGUUCAGGAGGUGGGAGGGUCUGGGAGGGAGGGUCUGCUGCUGAUUGGCUGGAAUGUGUCUG